AUUUUUCUUCUCCAUUCUUUUCAGUGUAUGGUAGGAAGAAACACAGUACAUUUCUAGUCUCAACAGGAAUUAUAUUGAAGAAAAAGUCGUGUAAAUGGUGAUAUAUAAAAAUAAAUCGCUAAUUCAAGGUCUACGUAUCGACCGGAUAUGGAAAGUGUAAACCUAGAUAGUUUGAAUAAUUAAAUUUGUAAUGCCUUAAUGUAGCAAUAAAUAUUCUUUAUUACAUAGUUUGUUAUAAAAGCAAGACAUUAGAUAAAAUAUAAAUCACAUCAAAAAAAGUGCACUAAUUUUGAUCGGAUAGAAUUCUCUGCACCAUAAAGUCAGUGUAUAAUUUUCAACUAUAGUUAAAAUAAUCGUGUUCAAAUAUAAUACUUAUAUGGAAAGUGUGUGAACUGUAAUAACAAAAUAAUUAUAUUAGCACAAUUAGUGGUCAGUUGAUUCGACCAAUUCAUAUUUAUCCGAUUAGCGGAAGCGGCAUACCUACAUAUAUAAUGGUGCUAAAAACCUCAAAUGUGCUACAAAUAAUUAUCACCUUUUAAACGAAUAAAUACAGAUAUAUGUAUAUACAUGCAUAUAUACAUACGCGAAAGCUGCUCAACUCAUUGGUAAAUCACUUUACCAUAACAAUCUCAUAAUUAACAGAGUCAUUUGAUAUAAUAUGCAUAUGUUUGUUUAGGCGAUAUUCGCCCUUUAUCAGAUGCAACGUUCAACUCGGUAGAAAAAUAGCCUAACCGCAAAACAAUAAAUGUAUAAAUCAAUUGAGCACCGUAAGACGGCUGAAUUGUUGAUUUUUAUGUCGGAAUAUUGCUUUCAUGUGCUUAGAAAUAUAAGAAUAUAACAAUCAACAGAAAGCAAGAAAACGAUAUAAACGUGUGCUAAACGAAUAUACAUAGUGCUAACGCUGCCAAAACAUUGGAUAGCUUCUAUUAACUCAGUAUUAUUAUGCGCUCGUUACGUUAAACAUGUGUGUGUUAAAUUUUCGUUUCUUAUCAAUGGUAUAUCUAUAAUUGUCAGUGCGCACCGAUAACACUUUGUGGCUGAAAAUUACGACAACGUUGUAUCGCUGACCAAAUACCAGUAUUUCAACCAACAUGGACGAAGUAUUUUCAUUACAUUUAGGAAAACUCGACAUAUUUGAUGUCUUCUUCCUCGCUGGCAUUUUAUCUUUGGUUAUACUAUUUUCUAUUUGAAAUCGUUAAAAGCAUUAACCAAUAUGGAUAAAAUUAUAAAUUUACAAGCGUAUAAAAAUUGUAAACACCAACGAAAAUACGCAGCCAAACUUACAAUUGUGAAAUACCAGGAUGAAAACGUCAAGCCCAAGAGGAAUAGCGAAAAUAAAGAAAACGUCAAAAAAUUUACAGAGAUGCAUGAAGGAAGAAUAUUUGUUUUCUUAGGAAAUAAAUAUGUUAAUUACAGUUUUUAAUUGAAUUUUGUUUUAAUAUGUUUAUGGUGAUUACGGUGAUAAUCAUUUAACAAAUCUAAUUAAAUUUUAAAAUAGAUUUCUUUGUUUGUUUAUUUUGUCCCAAUUAUCUCAUUUUGAUUAAAAAAAAGGAGACUGAUGGGUAGAAAAUAAAUUUGGAUAAUUCAGAAAUGUGCUUACUAAAGUGUAGCUUUAUGAGUAUUCUAAGCAAAACAAACGAAAUAAACAUGGGUUGAAUAUAAAAAA